UUGGAGUUCAUGCAAGUUCUAAC
rnacentral:piRNA from 3 species